CCCCAUACUGGUCUAUACUGGUCCAUACCGGUCCAUACUGGUCUGUACUGGUCCCAGUGCACCCAUACUGGUCCAUACCGGUCCUUACGGGUCUGUUCCAGUACCACCACCAGUACGAACCAGUACAGCUCCCGGUACCCCCGUACUGGUCCAUACUGGUCGGUACUGGUCCCAGUGCACCCAUACUGGUCCAUACUGGUCCGUAGCAGUACCAGAACCAGUACAAACCAGUACAGCUGCCGGUACCCCCAUACUGGUCUAUACUGGUCCAUACUGGUCCCAGCACCAGUACUAACCAGUACAGCUGCCGGUACACCCAUACUGGUCUGUACUGGUCCCAGUGCAUCCAUACUGGUCCAUACUGGUCCGUACCAGUACCAGCACCAGUACAAACCAGUACAGCUCCCGGUACACCCGUACUGGUCCGUACUGGUCUGUACUGGUCCCAGUGCAACCAUACUGGUCUAUGCUGGUCCGUACUGGUCCGUUCCAGUGCCUGCACCAGUACAAACCAGUACAGCUGCGAGUACCCCCAUACUGGUCCAUACUGGUCCAUACUGGUCCGUACUGGUCCCAGCACCAGUACAAACCAGUACAGCUGCCGGUACCCCCAUACUGGUCCAUACUGGUCCGUACUGGUCUGUACUGGUCCCAGUGCAUCCAUACUGGUUUAUACUGGUCCGUAGCAGUUCCAGCACCAGUAGAAACCAGCACAGCUCCAGGUACCCCCAUACUGGUCCAUACUGGUCCGUACUGGUCCAUACUGGUCCGUACCAUUACCGGCACCAGUACAAACCAGUACAGCUGCCCGUACACCAGUACUGGUCCAUACUGGUCGGUACUGGCUUGUACUGGUCCCAGUUGACCCGUACUGGUCCAUACUGGUCCAUACUGGUCCGUACUGGUCCCAGCACCAGUACAAACCAGUACAGCUGCCGGUACCCCCAUUCUGGUCCAUACUGGUUUGUACUGGUCGGUACUGGUCCCAAUACACCCGUACUAGCCUAUACUGGUCCAUACUGGUCCGUAGCAGUACCAGCACCAGUACAAACCAGUACAGCUCCCGGUACACCCAUACUGGUCCAUACUGGUCCAUAUUGGUCUGUACUGGUCCCAGUGCACCCAUACUGGUCCAUACUGGUCCGUACUGGUCCGUAG
rnacentral:lncRNA from 1 species